UCAUCAUUUCUGGUUUUAAAUUUAGGUUCUACACACCCAUAUUUCUUAUAUGUACAAUGUACAAAAUCUUAUAAAAUACAGUUUUUAACCUUGCUAUAGGUACAUUCUUACUUAUAAAAUAAUUUAAUUUUUGAAAAUAAUUUAAUUUAAUUUUAAUGAUGAAAAUCAGAGCCUGUUAGAGGUAUAGUGGGGUGAUUCUGUUGAAAACAACAUAUCAUUUAUUCCAUAAGGCACAAACAAAGAAAGAAUAUAAGAACCCUGCUACAUCCUCCUUCAAGAUAGAAAGAAGAAACCCUAAACACAGAGAAUGCAAGAAGCAGAAGAGGGCCCCAUCUUUACAGCGAUCAGCUAGCAGAGUCAAAAAGCCUGUGUGGAGUUUUCAACAAAGCAGAGGUGCAAUUUUCCUUGGAAAAAAAAA
rnacentral:lncRNA from 1 species